rnacentral:rRNA from 1 species
GGACUACACGGGUUUCUAAUCCUGUUCGCUCCCCACGCUUUCGCUCCUCAGUGUCAGUAUCGGCCCAGAGUGCCGCCUUCGCUACGGGUGUUCCUCCUGAUCUCUGCGCAUUUCACCGCUCCACCAGGAAUUCCACACUCCUCUACCGAACUCUAGUCACGGCAGUAUCGAAUGACCCCUCCAGGUUGAGCCUGGAGAUUUCACAUCCGACUUACCGAACCACCUACGAGCUCUUUACGCCCAAUAAAUCCGGACAACGCUAGCCCCCUACGUAUUACCGCGGCUGCUGGCAC